rnacentral:lncRNA from 10 species
CUGUCACCCAGGCUAGAAUGCAGUAACUGGAUCAGAGCUCACUGCAGCCUUCCACUCCUGGGCUCGGGCAAUCCUUCCACCUCAGCCUUCCAAGUAGCUGGGAUUACAGGUGAGACCCACCACACCCACCAUGAAAAACAUUAGUUGGAACUUCAAAUUACAUGGUAAUUUAAACAUUAUGUUUAAAGAUACACAAAAGUGGAAAUGAUUUCAGCAAGAUAGUAGAACAUCUAGAAAACAUUUAAGACAAGAAUACCAUCUUUAAUGCACCUGAAGUAGGGGGAGAAGAACUAAGUGAUGCCACCACUGGUAAGAGAAACAGUUCAAUUUCAGAGUGCACCACCCUGGUCUCCUAAACUGUCAGAACACCACUCGCACACAAUUUCCCUAGACUCGUGGUUUCUGAGAUGAGAGGAACUAGAUGUGGAACUCCGAGCUCUCCACAAGUCUGGGAAGCCCACUCCAGUCCUGUCCCAUGGGAACCACUGGGAGUGCUAGAUGGGCAGAACCACCUGGGAUGAACUGGGGACAAAGAGCAGGGCACUGACUGUGCUUAAACUCUGGUGACUACUCACUGCUCCAAUCAGUGGGGACACCAUGUUGAAGCUACUAUGGAAAACAGUAUGAUGGUUCCUCAGGCUGGGUGUGGUGGCUCAUGCCUGUAAUCCCAGAAAUUUGGGAGACCAAGGUGGGAGGAUUGCUUGAGCCCAGGAGUUCAAGACUAGCCUGGGCAACAUAACAAGAUCGCAUCUCUAUAAAGAGAGAGAAAAAAAAAGGUUUCUCAAAAAAACAAAAACAGAUCUGCCAUAUAAUCCAGCAAUCUCACUGCUGGAUAUAUAUCCAAAAUAAAGGAAUUCAGUACAUCUUGGCCGGGCACAGUGGCUCAUGCCUGCAAUCCCAGCACUUCGGAAGGCCCAGGCGGGUGGAUCACUUGAGGCCAGUAGUUGGGAGACCAGCCUGGGCAACAUGGUGAAAACUGGUCUCUACUAAAAAUACAAAAAUUAGCUGGUUGUGGUGGUACACGUCUGUAGUGCUAACUCCUUGGGAGGCUGAGGCAUGAGAAUAGCUUUAAGUGGGGAGGCAAAGGUUACAGUGAGUUGAGAUCAUUCCACUGCACUCCAGCCAGGGCAACAGAGUAAGACACUUGUCUCAAAAAAAAAAAGGAAAAAAAGGAAAAAAAGAAAGGAAAUUAGUAGAUCUAAGAGAUGGAUGCAUUUCCAUGUUUACUGUAGCACUAUUUACAACAGCCAAGAUAUGGAAUCAACCUAAGUGUCCCUCAACAGAUAAAUUAAUUAGGAAAAUGGAGGAUAUACACACAUACAAUGAAAAAUUACUCAUCCAUAAAAAAGAAUGAAAUUCUGUCAUUUUCAGCAAAAUGAACAGAACUUGAAGUCAUUAUGCUCAGUGAAAUAAGCCAAGCCCAGAGACAAAUAUCGCAUGGUCUCACUCAUAUGUGGGCACUGAAAGAGUGAAGGCCAGGCACAGUGGCUCACGCCUGUAAUCCUAGCACUUCAGGAAGCUGAGGCAGGAGGGUCGCUUGAGUCCACGAGUUUGAGACCAGCC